GACGAACGCUGGCGGCGUGCCUAAUACAUGCAAGUCGAACGCAGUGGGGACGGGUGAGUAACACGUGGGUAACCUCCCAUCAAAGGGGAUAACACUUGGAAACAGGUGCUAAACUGAUACUGAUGGAUGGACCCGCGGUGCAUGAGCUAGUUGGUGAGGUAACGGCUCACCAAGGCCACGAAGCAUAGCCGACCUGAGAGGGUUAGCUGCCACACUGGGACUGAGACACGGCCCAGACUCCUACGCGAGGCAGCAGUAUGGAAUCUGCGGCAAGGGACGAAAGUCUGACCUAGCAACUCCGCGUGAGUGCAUAAGGUUUUCGGAUCGUAAAAUUCUGUUUUUAUAUAAGCGGUAUCUAACCAGAAAGCCACGGCUAACUACGUGCCAGCAGCCGCGGUAAUUC
rnacentral:rRNA from 1 species